rnacentral:rRNA from 1 species
CAGUCGCCGCGGGAAUACGUAGGGUGCAAGCGUUAAUCGGAAUUACUGGGCGUAAAGCGUGCGCAGGCGGUUAUAUAAGACAGAUGUGAAAUCCCCGGGCUCAACCUGGGAACUGCAUUUGUGACUGUUUAGCUAGAGUACGGCAGAGGGGGAUGGAAUUCCGCGUGUAGCAGUGAAAUGCGUAGAUAUGCGGAGGAACACCGAUGGCGAAGGCAAUCCCCUGGGCCUGUACUGACGCUCAUGCACGAAAGCGUGGGGAGCAAACAGGAUUAGAUACCCCAGUAGUCCCUGUCUCUUAUAA